CAAAACUUUUACAAGUAGGCCUUGCUAAAUUCCCUGUGUAUGUAAGUUACAAUAACUUGUAAUAUAUUCAGUCCAAAACAAAACACUAAGACGAACACAAAAUUUAUUUAAAACGAAGUCUCGAUUUCAUAUAAAAGGCACGCGAUUAAAACUGGCAUCUAAAAGGUGGAAAACUCACCUUCUACCCAGAAAACUAAUGCUACCACCUAAUAGAAAAGACUAAACUUUUGAUCUGUUGUUAUUGUAGUUUAUGGAAUAGCAUGCAUGCCAUAACUGGCACCAUUGCAGAGGCAAAUCCAAGACGAGUUGCCAUCAGGAUUGAAGCCUCGAGGAUCUUCAGUGCGAAACAGCUGUAGAGAUUGAGUAAUUCAAUGUUAGGCCAUAUAAAGAGCGAUUGGAAAGGACAUUUUGAUGGCGUUUAAAGGAUAAUUGUACAAGAACCUGGCCAAGGAUUGCCGCAAAUUCGAAUCUUUCAUUUGUCCAGAUUCGUAGACUUUUACACUGGCCUACGAUGUAUUACUCAACACUACACUGCAUAAUUGCAUAUCGGAUAGCAGAGAUUCAAUUUUUGAAAGGAAACACAAAAUGGCUUAAUGCACCUAGAAAGUGACAAUCCUCGCCUUUUACUCUCGCGGCUUUGACAUUAGAUUCUAAGUGACGGCAAAAGCUGCUCUUAAUCUUAUCAAAGAUUGAGAGUCGAAAGGCUGUUGUAACAAUGGUGGCACCAAGGAGAAGAAAGUUGCCUCAAAUCGACGCAUUCUGCGGACCACAGCCCAGCAAUGUCCCAGCAACAAGGUGUGUACAUGCAUUUGUACAUAACGAAAGCUAGUCGAGUCAGUUCCUAAAAGCUGACCUGAACGCCUUCACUCAGCCAUAACAUGGAGAUUGAUUAAAAUAGAGAUCUUUACCCGAGCUUACAACGUACACAGAGGUUAUCCAUACACUCACAGCUUGCGAACACAGAUUUAUGCUUACGAUAUAAAUUUAAUAAAGUAAGUAACCAACUCAAUUAAA